GAUGAACGCUGACAGAAUGCUUAACACAUGCAAGUCCACUUGAAUUUGGGUUUUUAACUUCGGUUUGGGUGGCGGACGGGUGAGUAACGCGUAAAGAACUUGCCUCACAGCUAGGGACAACAUAUGGAAACGAAUGCUAAUACCUAAUAUUAUGAUAAUAGGGCAUCCUAUAAUUAUGAAAGCUAUAAGCGCUGUGAGAGAGCUUUGCGUCCCAUUAGCUAGUUGGAGAGGUAACGGCUCACCAAGGCGAUGAUGGGUAGCCGGCCUGAGAGGGUGAUCGGCCACAAGGGGACUGAGACACGGCCCUUACUCCUACGGGAGGCAGCAGUGGGGAAUAUUGGACAAUGGACCGAGAGUCUGAUCCAGCAAUUCUGUGUGCACGAUGAAGUUUUUCGGAAUGUAAAGUGCUUUCAGUUGGGAAGAAACAAAUGACGGUACCAACAGAAGAAGUGACGGCUAAAUACGUG
rnacentral:rRNA from 1 species